rnacentral:rRNA from 2 species
GGGGAAUAUUGGGCAAUGGGCGCAAGCCUGACCCAGCAACGCCGCGUGAGGGAAGAAGGUCUUCGGAUUGUAAACCUCUGUCCUUGGGGACGAAAGAAAUGACGGUACCCAAGGAGGAAGCUCCGGCUAACUACGUGCCAGCAGCCGCGGUAAUACGUAGGUGGCGAGCGUUGUCCGGAAUUACUGGGCGUAAAGGGCGCGUAGGCGGCUCUUUAAGUUAGAUGUGAAAACCCAGGGCUCAACCCUGGGAGUGCAUUUAAAACUGAAGGGCUCGAGUGCUGGAGAGGUAAGUGGAAUUCCUAGUGUAGCGGUGAAAUGCGUAGAUAUUAGGAGGAACACCAGUGGCGAAGGCGACUUACUGGACUGUAACUGACGCUGAGGCGCGAAAGCGUGGGGAGCAAACA